UCAAUUCAUGCAGUUAGGAUGACUUGCUUUGUACAUGUUCUUCUCCUUCUCCGUUGCCGCUAUUAUCCACUAGUCCAGUGAGUUUGGGAUUUAUCUGAGUUCCCUUUAACAAAUUGAAUGCAUGUGAUGGUUCAUUCAAGCUCUCAGGAUAAGUUGCAGGAUUGGCCCGACCUUCUCUUUAUUGAGGAUACUUAAGGGAAUCUCUGGACUGGAAGUAACACUGUCGAUAUACCUGUGAAUUAUGAGAUCCGGAAAAAGAGGUACAGGCCCUAGAGUUGCAAAGCGACACUUGAAAUUCCUUCCCCGCAGCCAAAAAAACUAAGUGGAGAGUGCACUGCCAGGAGAGAGACUCGAUCUUCACAGAAUAUUCUGUGGGGAAGUGCUUCUGAAAAGCAUGAUGCCGAGUUCAGAUUCCUCUGCCAGAUUGAAGGUUCAAGUCGGAAAAUUGAUGGCUCUCUUGCUCAUCGCACAGUCAGUGUCAACUGAAAAUCCAGAAACUCUGCGCACCCCUUUCAUCUAAUGUUUUUCCUAUAGAGGAUGAUUUCCUGGAUAACAUAACAAAUUCAGUGCUUCAGCUAGCUUCGGUUAUAAAUCAGACUGCCUGUUAGGUUCAGGAUGGGAGGAUGAGUCUAUUGUAGCUGGCAGAUCAACGGAGGAUGCCUCAUUUUAGGGAGUCUCUUGAACUUGAUGACAGUUCAAAUGUGAUGCAUGAGAGAAGGAAAAACUAUUUAUACGGAGCACAGAAGACUGAUACAUGAUGGAUCAUCUUUUGCUAGUGAUGAAGAUAUUAAGUUUGAAAAAAGUAACUACAUGAAUAAACAAAAUCGCCUUGAAGAUGAUUAUAGUUUUGAAUUUGAAGUAGCUGAUGAUGUUAACCAGGUCUUCAGACAUAGGUGUCCUGGAGGCAAGACCAAGGAAAUAUAUUUUGAGAACUUCCCCUGCAGAAAAACUCAGAGCAAGGCAUUGCGGAGUCAAAAUUUGACAGGAGAUUGAGAAAAAUCUUCAUUAUCCAAGGACAUUCUGGAUGAAGACGAUCAUCUUAUGUAUUUCAAUUAACAGACUGAAAAUUAUGGUUUUGGUGUCUCACGAGAUAAACUGGUGUUGAUGGGAGAAAGAUAUGCGACAUCAAAAUACAACCAUUCAUAUGAUAUGCAUACUUUCCUAGCAAGCUUUGGCUUUAAAGGAGAGGCUCUGAGCUCUAUUUCUGACGUUUCUUUUUGGAAAUUCUAAAACUCAUGGGAGGCCAAAUGGAUAUCGUAAGGUUUUGACGGAUGGCAAGUGUUUGUACCUUGGAAUUGAUGACUGUAGAGAAGACGUUGGUACAACAGUCAUUUCUUCAUGAUGUAUUUUACAACCAACCUUUUUCGAAGGAAGCAAAUGCAUUCCAAGCACUUCUAGUUUUCUCAAAAUCAAACAAGUAAAAAAUAUUGAUUUACAUACUUUACUUCUAAAGAUGUACUCUGAUCUCAUUGUUCUUUUGGUUUGUAUGUAUAAUCUUGAACACAUCCCAGUGUCUCCUUCAAAACUGUUUAUAUUGAAAGGUCCGUCUUUGAUACACUAGCUAACUUAAGGAUAUUUCCUGUCUGGUUUCUUAGAUUUUGUUCAUUUGCAUGCACUGAGGAUGACCUGCUUUGCACACGUGCUUCUCCUUCUCCUUGCCACUGUUGUCCAGUGGGUUUGAGAUUCAUCUGAGUUCCCUUAACAAAUUGAAUGCAAGCGUUGGUGCAUUCAAGCUUUAAGGAUACUUCUCAGGUCCUGAUGUUUACACAGUGAAGGUAUACUGGCCCAAAUUGAUGGAUAAAGAGAUGUGAUAAGUCAUCUUUUCUUUUCUCUGUUUCCCUAACAACCAAUGUUUAAUUUGUAGGUCCUUCAGUAUUUCUAUAUUCACUUAUAUCAGUAUGUUGUCCUGA